AAAAGUAAUCGCGGUUUUUGUC
rnacentral:miRNA from 3 species